rnacentral:rRNA from 1 species
UACAGAGGGUGCAAGCGUUAAUCGGAAUUACUGGGCGUAAAGCGCGCGUAGGUGGCCAAUUAAGUCAAAUGUGAAAUCCCCGAGCUUAACUUGGGAAUUGCAUUCGAUACUGGUUGGCUAGAGUAUGGGAGAGGAUGGUAGAAUUCCAGGUGUAGCGGUGAAAUGCGUAGAGAUCUGGAGGAAUACCGAUGGCGAAGGCAGCCAUCUGGCCUAAUACUGGCACUGAGGUGCGAAAGCAUGGGGAGCAAACAGG